UGGCGUCUUCCCUCACAAUCAAGAGGCACUGGUCGGUCUUAGCAAAACCCUGCUACAAGAGCAGCUUGCGGUGUUGGAUGUCAGCCGAGACCAGCACGCUGUCAACAGCCCCUUGCUGCACCUGCACAAUUCUGCAGUGUCGGUGCAGCGCAUGGCUGAGGUGUGCGAGCAGCAGCUGGCGCCUCUAUGCGCCGUAGUCGCCAGCCGCGUCCAGCAUCUUGCCGAGGACAACGAUAACCUCGAUGACCACAUCAAUUAUCUCACUGAACUUCUACAUGAUCACCACUUCGAUUUCAAACUGCAAAUUUAGUUUAAAGUUUAUGAUUUCUAGGAGGUUUUGAUAUUUAUGAUGUGUCUAGGUGGUUGUGACCUUAUGAACUUUAUUGGGAUAUUAAUUUUUGAUUAGAUAAUUUGUGAUUUUCUAAAUAACGAAAAACUUGAAGCUGUAUCAGUAGAAUAAAUCUUGGUCAAUAAUAUCGAAAAAAAAUUGACAGUAUUGCAAGUGGUUGCCUAUUAUAUUAACUAUUCUUGAAACUAUUUCGUUAUCGGAGAUUUUAUAUUUGAAAAUGAGCUUAUUUAACACGUUUAAAUUUUGUAACAAACUUCCUAAUGUAUGUGCCUCACUCAAUUGACUUUUUUCUACUUAAACUUGGCGGUAUGGAUCGAAUACCAACUUUUACCGAAGGUAAAGGUUAUUUAAUCUCAACUAUAUAAUUGUGAUGAGAUAAUGACCAUUAUUAACUAUGUACGUAUAUGGUUGUGACGAAAAAUGUUUUCUAACACGCCCUGUGCACUCAUCCUUUGGUUAAGUCGACUUCGGCGCAAUUUCAAGGUUUAAACUGCAUUUGUAUUGCGAUAUAAUAAUCAAGAUAAGUAACGUAUUGAUCCAUUCGUAAUCUCUCAUCUGGAUGGCAUUAAUUUAUUAUGCUUAGUCGUUUUUUUCUAGUCGGAAUAAUUUCUAAGUCGGUCGUGCAUCUAAGUUUCAAGAAUCUUAUGUUUGUGGUAACGUUCUUGAUGCACACAAAUGCAAGACGAAAAAAAAAACAACAAAAAGAUACAGAACCAAGAUACGAGAUACAGAAAAGAUACGUAUUUAUACAGAGCCAAGAUACGAGAUCAUAAAAAUGUGCCAUUAUUAUUGAAACUAUCAAAACUAUUAUUGCCAUAAAAACGCAUAUGAAAAAAUUAGAUAUAUUAAUAUAGGCUGCAGCUCCUUGAAUUCGCUCGUGCGCUAGAAACCUGGCGUCUUAAGCUUGAUAAUAUAACAUUAGGAGUAAAUGUCUGAACUGCAACAAGGAUCAAAUUAAGUAAUUAAGUUUUAAGUAACGGGCGCAUAUAUAUGAGGUAUCAGCGCAACUGCUUCGGACAACGUAUUCUUUUGAAUUGCCUUAUCUUUUUGUUGUUUUUUCCGUUGUUUCAGCGUUCAUUUUAUAUUCCGUUAUUUAUUAUGUUUUUUGGUUAUAGUAGGGAAAUUUUUCCGUUUAUUUUAGCGUAAGCCUGAUUUCGAUGUUUUUCGAUACCUCUGUAGAAAUGUCAAAGAUCGUUUGUUCGACAAUAUAUUGAUAUUUUUCGAU
rnacentral:lncRNA from 1 species